rnacentral:misc_RNA from 1 species
UUUUCUUUUUUUUUUUUUUUGUGUGUGUGAGAGAUUUCUGUAUACGUGUCUGUUGAUAUGAAAAGGUUUUAUGAAAUGUUUGGUUGUGACUUGUGUACUUUGGUUGGUGGAAGGUCAAGACUGAGAUAUGGGAAGAGCAGGUCAGUUGUAAACAUCGUACGAAGUUAAUAAGAUUUUACUUCAACAAUUUUUCAAAUUUAAUUUGGUUUCAAAUUAAUGUACUAAUUUGCUUUUAAUUGAAGUUAUGUUCACAAGAGUCAUUAUUCUCAACUAUCUUCUAGGCUUCUAGCUAG